AACUAUGGCCACACCAUCCUCAACUUGCCUAAUCUUGGUUGGUCUCAGAAGCUAAGCAAGGUUGGGCCUGGUUAGUACUUGGAUGUGGUGGAGGGGCAGUGUGGAAAAUGUUGUCAAGUUG
rnacentral:rRNA from 1 species